UACCAGCACCCCGAGUGGUCGGGACGAUUAUUGGGCCUAAAGCAUCCGUAGCCGGCCCUGCAAGUCUUCCGUUAAAUCCAGCUGCUCAACAGAUGGGCUGCGGGAGAUACUACAGGGCUAGGAGGCGGGAGAGGCAAGCGGUACUUUAUGGGUAGGGGUAAAAUCCGCUGAUCCAUAGAAGAACACCAGUGGCGAAGGCGGCUCACUGGCCCGAUACUGACGCUGAGGCACAAAAGCGUGGGGAGCAAACAGG
rnacentral:rRNA from 1 species